GGGGAGUGAGAGACGGCGUAAGCAGCAGUGAACAAGUCAAUUUUGGUUGGAGGUGGUUGGACAGGGGAGAGGCUGGAAAGAGAGAGGGAGGGUAAAAGAAGAGGGGGAGCAGGAGGAGGUAAAGACAAACUCCCUGAGAACUGGAGUUGGUAGCCAGAGAAAGUGAACACACACACACACAGCAGGAAGAGGAACAGUUGCAGCGCUGCUGAUCUGCUGAGAGAGUCAGAUUACCUCCAAACAUCCCGUCUGUGCAGGCUGAACUGAAGCAGGCUAAUUAGAUGAAGAGGUUGAGAGCAGCAGACUCGGCCACAAACAACCUCAAGAGAAACUAAGGGGAGUUGUCAAAGGAGGGGGAGGCUGAAAACAAGACGGGCGAGGGGUCUGAGGAGCUUCUACUGGGGGGGACGGUUCUGUGUACAACACACUGGUUCUCCUCUCAGAGAACAGUCAACAAGUGGAGUCUGUGUCACUUUUAAGAGCUUGUACAGCAAAGGUGCAGCAGUGUGAUCGAAGGCCCGUUUCCUUACUGCUCAUCUCCUUCCUUGUGUGAGUCAGCAUGAGCGUGAAAGAGGAGGUGCUGGAUAUUCUGCAGAAGUUGUCGACCAAACUUCAGGGUCUCCCACAGGCCAGCGCUCUGGAGCUGGGAGCCUUCUUUGUGCUUGUUCUGUUUGUUGCAACAUUUCUCUUCAUGGUCCUCCUGUCCUGUAUCCACUGCUGCUGCUGUGGUAAGCCAAAAUACCAGGCCUCCAGAGUUCAGCCUCUACAGCCUGUCUGAAGAGGAGAAAGAACAGACUCCACAAGAACCAUCGCCUCCAUCCAUCAUGUAAUCAUCCACAUUAUACAAGGAUUUUUUUUUUCAAUUCAUACAGAAGGAAAUAUAGAAAGAAAUCCAUGAAAGGAAGGGUGGGGACAUGUUUCCAUAUUUCCAGUUCUGGGGUACAGAGCCAUGUCACUGGGACCAUACAUUUUAAUACAGACUCAUGGAGAUUCAUCAACAACGAGGACAAUGAAACAGUGUGUGGCAGCUCACUCAACAGACAAAAACCUCACGGUGCAGUGGAUAAAAGACACAGUAGGAGAGCAGAUGAGUGCGUAAAUGUCACAUGAUUAAAUCCAGUGGUUUAAUGUCCUGCUCUUAUUCAUCAGGAAUGUGACAAACACAUUGGGAAAUAUGUAGAUAUUGUACAUAUAGUGGAUAUAGUAAAGAGAAUUAGAUGUAUUGUACAUUUUUCAAAUUGACAAUGUGACCUGGUCAUUGUUUCACAUCCAACACGUGUUGAUGGAUUCUUAUCGUGUUAUUACAUUGAAGUGUUACAUAUUUUUUUUACUGAGACAAUUUUUACUGGAGCAAUGUUGCUUUGUUUCUUCUCUGUAAAUGUAUUAAAUGUUCAAUAUUU